rnacentral:rRNA from 1 species
AUAAUGGGUCAGCGACUUAUAUUCUGUAGCAAGGUUAACCGAAUAGGGGAGCCGAAGGGAAACCGAGUCUUAACUGGGCGUUAAGUUGCAGGGUAUAGACCCGAAACCCGGUGAUCUAGCCAUGGGCAGGUUGAAGGUUGGGUAACACUAACUGGAGGACCGAACCGACUAAUGUUGAAAAAUUAGCGGAUGACUUGUGGCUGGGGGUGAAAGGCCAAUCAAACCGGGAGAUAGCUGGUUCUCCCCGAAAGCUAUUUAGGUAGCGCCUCGUGAAUUCAUCUCCGGGGGUAGAGCACUGUUUCGGCAAGGGGGUCAUCCCGACUUACCAACCCGAUGCAAACUGCGAAUACCGGAGAAUGUUAUCACGGGAGACACACGGCGGGUGCUAACGUCCGUCGUGAAGAGGGAAACAACCCAGACCGCCAGCUAAGGUCCCAAAGUCAUGGUUAAGUGGGAAACGAUGUGGGAAGGCCCAGACAGCCAGGAUGUUGGCUUAGAAGCAGCCAUCAUUUAAAGAAAGCGUAAUAGCUCACUGGUCGAGUCGGCCUGCGCGGAAGAUGUAACGGGGCUAAACCAUGCACCGAAGCUGCGGCAGCGACGCUGAUGCGUUGUUGGGUAGGGGAGCGUUCUGUAAGCCUGUGAAGGUGUGCUGUGAGGCAUGCUGGAGGUAUCAGAAGUGCGAAUGCUGACAUAAGUAACGAUAAAGCGGGUGAAAAGCCCGCUCGCCGGAAGACCAAGGGUUCCUGUCCAACGUUAAUCGGGGCAGGGUGAGUCGACCCCUAAGGCGAGGCCGAAAGGCGUAGUCGAUGGGAAACAGGUUAAUAUUCCUGUACUUGGUGUUACUGCGAAGGGGGGACGGAGAAGGCUAUGUUGGCCGGGCGACGGUUGUCCCGGUUUAAGCGUGUAGGCUGGUUUUCCAGGCAAAUCCGGAAAAUCAAGGCUGAGGCGUGAUGACGAGGCACUACGGUGCUGAAGCAACAAAUGCCCUGCUUCCAGGAAAAGCCUCUAAGCAUCAGGUAACAUCAAAUCGUACCCCAAACCGACACAGGUGGUCAGGUAGAGAAUACCAAGGCGCUUGAGAGAACUCGGGUGAAGGAACUAGGCAAAAUGGUGCCGUAACUUCGGGAGAAGGCACGCUGAUAUGUAGGUGAAGUCCCUCGCGGAUGGAGCUGAAAUCAGUCGAAGAU